rnacentral:lncRNA from 1 species
GCUUUUGAUUGUGGAUUAGUUAACCUUACGAUCUCUGCACUUUUUAUGCAUUGUCGAAAUUGAAGAGGUUUGGUUGUUUCGGCGGUGCAGAAUGGAGAAUGGAUUUUGUAUCUAAAUACCAGGUACAUUCCACUUAAUCCUUUAAAUCUAUUGUUUUCAGCUCUGUUGUGGGGUAAAAUUGAAAAUUUACUUUGGUGUCCUUGAUUUAAUUGUGAAACGGAGAGGCUGGAUUCUGUUAGUUGUGGGUUGAUUUCGUUUCCUAAUUACGUGAUGUAUCUGAGGAUUUAUGGAUUGAGCAGUAUGGUUUUUAACUAUUAGAAUAAUCGAGAUUAAUAUUUCUAUCGGGUGUAAACCAUUUUGUUCUGAAUUACUUUCUUCACGAGUUGGUGUUUUCUAUUGAUAUGUUAGAAAAGGUAAAAACCUUGUGGGCAUCUCAAUAUACGGUGCAGAUCACUGCCUCAAGGUACCGCUUUUCCUUUGCUUUUUCGAUUAAUUAGACGGAAUCGGCUACAUUUCUUUGUUUGGGUUUCGUUAUUGAAAAAUUGAAAUCGACACAUAUUAUUACUUUAUUAGGGUUAUUUUCUCCCUUUCCGCUCUGCAUCGAUUCAAAUUCCAGAUUUUUAUUAAUGAAGAAGCCCAUGUUUGUUGUUUUUCAUUGUUUCUAUAAGUACAAAGGAAGCAAGUGUGGGUUGAGUAUGAGAGGUUUUUGUUUAAUGAAAUUGUUGCUGCUAGAGCUUCAGUUUCAAUUGUUGUUGCAGAGCCCACAAACUCAAAGACAUACAUUUAUUUUUUUAUUUUCCUUUUUCUUUUGGAUGGUUAAUGAUAAUGCUGUGAUUUUGGCAAUUGAUCUUUUCGUUUUUAAUUUUAUUUUUUAAUGGCAGAAGGAUGUCAGAUUGCUUUCUCUGAUUUAGUUUUGGAGGAAUUGUCAUUUAAACCAAAGGGAUAUAAUUACUGGACGUGGCAAGAUAAGAAAAUACAUUAUGUAGUGGAAGGAAAAAUUAUUAGUUUAGCAUGAGUUUAUAUUAGUUUAGCAUGAAUACAAGUUUAGCAUGAAUACAAGCUAAGUAAAUCAUAUGAAUGUCUUUCAUACACAAUACUUGUACAGUGUACUUGUGAUGUUAGUGCAAUACAGUUGGUUAUGUGUUGGAACUUAUACUUGUAUAAUAGAUGAUGUUGGAGUAAUAUAUGUGACAAAAUUGAAUGUUACAAUUACAUGUUGCUGCUAAGACUAACACUAAUAUUUUGGUUUGUCAGGAUGUCUUUCCUUCGGAAGGUGAAUUGCUUUUCUGGCUCCAUAAAUCGUUUUACCCCGAGUUACUGCGCCACGCCCUUGAAUUUUCAGAAUUUUGAGUUGUAAUUGUGAUAGCGGGUGGUAGGUAUCUGACGGGUAGCGGGUUGGUGGAUAUCCGACGGGUGGCGGGUAUUCGCAUGUCGCGGG